UGUUGAGUAUAAUUUUAUCAAAUUUUUAUUUUAUUAUCUCAAAAAAAUGCGGAAAAAUUUCCUACAUACAAUAACCGACAUCCUGAUGACAGAGUUUUGAAGAAAUUAAAAGAACGGGUCCGGUAAAGUUAAAGGGACGUCUAAAAACCGAUUUUUUUGCAAAUGUUUACAUAGAAUGAUAAACGUCCCUUUAACUUUACCGGAGCGAAAAGAACGAUUCGAGCAUACUGGAAGCGUAGAAUACAAGCAGCAAACUAGAACGAAAAUAUUUUUAAAUGAAGAAAACCAAUUGGCAAUCACCAUGUCGGUUGUAGAAACACCGGAAAUUAGUGUAAGACAAAUAAGUAAGAACUUAGAAAUAUCGAAAUCGUCCGUGGAAAAAUGUCUACAGAAAACAAAUAUCAUCCCUAUCAUGCUUAGAUCAAGAACUUGCCGAAAAUGAUUUUGAAAAAAGGAAACCUUUUUGUCAAUGGGCACAAAAUCAAGCAGCAGAAAACGAGAAUUUUUUCAAAUUUGUGCUUUUUACUGAUGAAUUUACGUUUCACAGAAACGGUUUUGUGAACCGACAUAACUUUCACUUUUACGAUACAGAAAAUCCGCAUCGAGUUUAUGUCAAUAAUUUUCAACGCCGAUGAAGCAUCAAUGUUUGGGAUGGAAUAGUACAUGAUUUUGUUAUUGGUCCAUACUUUUUUGAAAAUCGUGUAACAAGACAAGUUUUUCUAAAUUUCUUAAGAGAGACUUUUCCACAGCUGACCCAAGAUCUUCCCGACUUUGUAAGGCAUCAGAUGUGGAUGGUGCACUAGCUCACUUCAGUACAAAUGUCAGGGAACAUAUCACGCACCAAUUUGGUAGUAGAUGGAUUGGAAGGCUAGGUCCCACACUGGAUGGCCUCCUAGAUCACCGGGUUUAACGCAUCAGGAUUUCUUUUUGUGAGGAAAUGUUAAAUCCGAAGUUUAUCGUAUUGUCUUCUCAACUCGGGAAGAUAUGGUGAAGCGCAUACAAGAGUCUUUUAGACGUAUUACGCCUUCUACGCGUCGUGCAGUUAGAAGAACUUUCGCACGUAGGGUUGAUCUGUGUUUGGAGCAAAACGGUAGACACUUUGAGCAAUUUUUGUGAUAACACUUUUUAUAAUGUAUUUAAUUAAUAUUGUUAAUGUUUUUGGUUAAUUCUUGAUGUAAAUGAAAUUGAUGGGAAUGAUUUUUUUUUUGUGGGAUUUUCCUACCGACGAUUUCUGGAUUUAUAAGUCCUUACUUAUUUCCCUUACUCUAAUUUCCGGAUUUUCUACAACCGACUUGGAGACUGUCAAUUUGAUUUCGUCAUUUAAAACUGUUUUUGUUCUAGUUUGUUUUUUUUUACUCUACGCUUCCAGUAUGCUCUAAUAAUUUUCAAGUAAGAAUAAACGUUGU